AGUGAACGCUGGCGGUAGGCCUAACACAUGCAAGUCGAACGGCAGCACAGUAAGAGCUUGCUCUUACGGGUGGCGAGUGGCGGACGGGUGAGGAAUACAUCGGAAUCUACUUUUUCGUGGGGGAUAACGUAGGGAAACUUACGCUAAUACCGCAUACGACCUACGGGUGAAGGCAGGGGAUCUUCGGACCUUGCGCGAUUGAAUGAGCCGAUGUCGGAUUAGCUAGUUGGCGGGGUAAAGGCCCACCAAGGCGACGAUCCGUAGCUGGUCUGAGAGGAUGAUCAGCCACACUGGAACUGAGACACGGUCCAGACUCCUACGGGAGGCAGCAGUGGGGAAUAUUGGACAGUGGGCGCAAGCCUGAUCCAGCCAUACCGCGUGGGUGAAGAAGGCCUUCGGGUUGUAAAGCCCUUUUGUUGGGAAAGAAAAGCAGCAGGUUAAUACCCCGCUGUUCUGACGGUACCCAAAGAAUAAGCACCGGCUAACUUCGU
rnacentral:rRNA from 1 species